GACGAACCGUGCGAACGUUGUUCGGAUUCACUGGGCAUAAAGGGCGCGUAGGCGGAUGGUCAAGUCGGGGGUGAAAUCUUUCAGCUUAACUGGAAAAGUGCCUCCGAUACUGAUCGUCUCGAGGGAGGUAGGGGCAUGUGGAACUUCCGGUGGAGCGGUGAAAUGCGUAGAUAUCAGAAGGAACGCCGGUGGCGAAAGCGACGUGCUGGACCUCUUCUGACGCUGAGGCGCGAAAGCUAGGGGAGCAAACGGG
rnacentral:rRNA from 1 species